AUGGCCAUACCACCCUGAAUGUGCCCGAUCUCGUCUGAUCUUGGAAGCUAAGCAGGGUUGGGCCUGGUUAGUACUUGGAUGNUUUACUUUAUCUCAUUCAUCUUUCUAUCUCUCAGAGCAUCUGGAGUACAUU
rnacentral:rRNA from 1 species